UCAAGAUGAGAUUUCCCAACUUCGGUUAUAAGAUCCCUCAAAGAUGAUGAGGUUAAUAGGUUCGAGGUGGAAGCAUGGUGACAUGUGGAGCUGACGAAUACUAAUCGAUCGAAGACUUAAUCAAAA
rnacentral:rRNA from 1 species